AUGAUGUUUCUAACAACUCUGAUUGUUACGUUGGGUUUUCUGAGUCAGGGGUCUGCUGCCAAUAAAUUUCUGACUCAAGCUGAUAAAUCCAAGUCCGUCAGUGUUGGAGGGACGGUGACCAUCAGCGCCACAGGGAGUUCAGAUAUUGGUGCUGAUCUCAGUUGGUACCUUCAGAAACCUGGACAGACUCCCAAACUUCUGAUAUAUAAAGUAUCAAGUUUAUUCUCAGGAACACCAUCCAGAUUCAGAGGCAGUAGAUCUGGUUCUUACUACACUUUAACCAUCAGUGGCUUUACAGCUGAAGAUGCUGGAGAUUAUUACUGUCUGGGCUACCAUGGUGGUGGAGUGUUGACACAGUGA